rnacentral:lncRNA from 10 species
AAGGAGACGUGUCUUUAGGAAGCAGAGAGGGUUCGAUUCUGGACUCCGCCCAUGACUCACUUCUCUUGUAAAGAAAGAGUUGUCCUUCCUGGUACUCCAGGUUUAUGGGAUGCAGGAUAAUGGAGCAUGCUCUAUCUGGGACAUUGCUAGUCUUAUGACAGAGGGAGAAGACAGCGAUGGUAAGUCUGCCUUUUAAGCUUUCACCUGGAAUUGAUGUAUCACUGGCUAAUCCAAAUCACCUGGUCACUUCUGAGUUUAACAGGGCAAGGAUCUGAAAUCCUUCUAUUACAGCAUGUCUAUAAGGCUGACAUCACAAAUCAUGGCCAAGACUCAUAUCAAUGGGAUGAAGAAGUAGAAUCCACCCCAAUGCAGGAAUAGCAAAUAUUUUGAACAAUAAUACAACCUAUUUCAAAAGGAACCUUCUUAUAGAAGGGAGCAGAAAGAAUGCUCAGGACAGUAUGUGUGCAACGGUCUCAGAAGCAACAACUUGGGAUUGAGAAGGAUAGGUAAGAGAGCCCCAAGAGGAAGGUCAGGUUGGAAGGUGGGUGGGUGACAUCUGUUGCUUUUCUGACAGGUUUAGUUAUUAGAUAGCUGCCUCUCUGGGUGGGCACUAGAAGAUAGGGAGA